AUAGAAGCAUCAGACCCAUAGACAUAAAUAAAGAAAUUGUAGCAAAACCAACUCCUACUUGAAUCAUCACUUUAGAAAUGGAUGGAACCUUGUGAUGCAUAAGCACUCCAAUGAAGUAAACCAGAGCGGCCAGCAUGAAGGCGAAGAGACUAAAGUGGAGCAUGGAAGGAACAUGUGGGCAUGCUUGAUAGUAAAAGACUGAAAGAGGUGUUGCAGAUGCUAACUAG